rnacentral:misc_RNA from 1 species
GAUGAAGAACGUAGCGAAAUGCGAUACGUAAUGUGAAUUGCAGAAUUCAGUGAAUCAUCGAAUCUUUGAACGCAUAUUGCGCUCUCUGGUAUUCCGGAGAGCAUGCUUGUUUGAGUAUCAGUAAACACCUCAACUUCCAUAUCUUUUUUGAAAUGGGAGUUGGACUUGAGUGAUCCCAACGCUUUUCCUCACCGAAAAGUGGCGGGUUACUUGAAAUGCAGGUGCAGCUGGACUUUUCUCUGAGCUAUAAGCAUAUCUAUUUAGUCUGCCUAAAAAACAGAUUAUUACCUUUGCUGCAGCUAACAUAAAGGAGAUUAGUUCUUGUGCUGACUGAUGCAGGAUUCACAAAGACAGGCUUCGGCCGACUUUGUAAACUCGAUCUCAAAUCAAGUAAGACUACCCGCUGAACUUAAGUAUAUCAAUAAGCGGAGGA